rnacentral:misc_RNA from 1 species
AAGUCGUAACAAGGUUUCCGUAGGUGAACCUGCGGAAGGAUCAUUAACACGUAUCCAACGUUAAACCCCCCGUGAACCUUCAGAGCGUUCUUGCCGCCCGUGACAAUCAGCAAUCCUGGUAAAUCAAGUGGGACCGUAUUGAUUCAGGACCUCUGCUGUCAUGUGUUAGGGAAACCAUAGCGGCAAUUGAGAGCUUUUAUCGUUAGUUUGGCGUCCUGGCCGGGCGAGUGAAAGUGUCGCUAGACGGUUUCUAGGGUAAGGCUUCGCCAUCGCUGGAGGCUCACCACGUAGCCGGCGGACAAACUACAGGGCUAUAUGCCCCCUAAUGACGACCAAGUUAAAUAGGGCCUCUGUCACAUAGCAAGUGCGCCGUGCCAGAGGAAAAGUACAACUGUUAACAAUGGAUAUCUUGGUUCUC